CAUUNACUUNCAANNGNUUUNNCCUANAAGUCNNACGUAACACGGGCUUCGGCCUGGUGGCGAGUGGCGAACGGGUGAGUAAUGUAUCGGAACGUGCCCAGUAGCGGGGGAUAACUACGCGAAAGCGUGGCUAAUACCGCAUACGCCCUACGGGGGAAAGCGGGGGACCUUCGGGCCUCGCACUAUUGGAGCGGCCGAUAUCGGAUUAGCUAGUUGGUGGGGUAACGGCCUACCAAGGCGACGAUCCGUAGCUGGUUUGAGAGGACGACCAGCCACACUGGGACUGAGACACGGCCCAGACUCCUACGGGAGGCAGCAGUGGGGAAUUUUGGACAAUGGGGGCAACCCUGAUCCAGCCAUCCCGCGUGUGCGAUGAAGGCCUUCGGGUUGUAAAGCACUUUUGGCAGGAAAGAAACGGCACGGGCUAAUAUCCUGUGCAACUGACGGUACCUGCAGAAUAAGCACCGGCUAACUACGUGCCAGCAGCCGCGGUAAUACGUAGGGUGCAAGCGUUUAAUCGGAAUUUACUGGGCGUAAAGCGUGCGCAGGCGGUUCGGAAAGAAAGAUGUGAAAAUCCCAGGGCUUUAACCUUGGAACUGCAUUUUUUACUACCGGGCUAAGAGUGUGU
rnacentral:rRNA from 1 species